GUGCCAGCCGCCGCGGUAAUACGGAGGAUGCAAGCGUUAUCCGGAUUUAUUGGGUUUAAAGGGUGCGUAGGCUGUGGGGAAAGUCAGGGGUGAAAGCCCGGCGCUUAACGCGGAACUGCCUUUGAUACUUCUCCGCUGGAAUACGGAUGCCGUGGGAGGAAUGAGUAGUGUAGCGGUGAAAUGCAUAGAUAUUACUCAGAACACCGAUUGCGAAGGCAUCUCACGAAUCCGUCAUUGACGCUGAGGCACGAAAGCGUGGGGAUCAAACAGGAUUAGAUACCCUGGUAGUCCACGCAGUAAACGAUGAUAACUAACCGUCGGCGAUACACAGUCGGUGGCCAAGCGAAAGCGAUAAGUUAUCCACCUGGGGAGUACGUUCGCAAGAAUGAAACUCAAAGGAAUUGACGGGGGCCCGCACAAGCGGAGGAACAUGUGGUUUAAUUCGAUGAUACGCGAGGAACCUUACCCGGGCUCGAACGGCAAGUGAAGGAUCAAGAGAUUGUGACGCCCUUCGGGGCACUUGUCGAGGUGCUGCAUGGUUGUCGUCAGCUCGUGUCGUGAGAUGUUGGCUUAAGUGCCAUAACGAGCGCAACCCUUGUCGCCAGUUACCAGCAUGCAAAGAUGGGGACUCUGGCGAGACUGCCACCGCAAGGUGUGAGGAAGGCGGGGAUGACGUCAAAUCAGCACGGCCCUUACGUCCGGGGCGACACACGUGUUACAAUGGCGACUACAGAGGGAAGCCACCUGGUGACAGGGAGCAGAUCUCGAAAAGUCGUCUCAGUUCGGAUUGGAGUCUGCAACUCGACUCCAUGAAGCUGGAUUCGCUAGUAAUCGCGCAUCAGCCAUGGCGCGGUGAAUACGUUCCCGGGCCUUGUACACACCGCCCGU
rnacentral:rRNA from 1 species